AGGCAUUCAGGCAGCGAGAGCAGAGCAGCGUAGAGCAGCACAGCUGAGCUCGUGAGGCAGGAGACUCAGCCCGAGGAAAUCGCAGAUAAGUUUUUAAUUAAAAAGAUUGAGCAGUAAAAAGAAUUAGAACUCUAAACUUAAGCUAAUAGAGUAGCUUAUCGAAAUAUUACUUAGUCUUAAUAAUCUAAGAAGAUCUUAAGAGAUAACAUGAAGGCUUAUUUAAACAGUUUGAAAAAGGAAAUGAGGAGAAAAGUAUUUGUACUGUAUAAUGGAGGCUGACCAGAGCAGUUUAGGAGAUUGUAAAGGGAGGUUUUGUGAAGUUCUAAAAGGUUCUAGUUUGAAGGUCGGCCUUGUAGAUUAAAACGAAGGUUACCUAAAUAGAAUCUAAGUGGCAUUUAAAACAGUAAAGUUGUAGAGAAUAGUUUGAAAAUGAGGUGUAGUUUUAAAAGAUUGAGAAAAGUAGGUUAAGUUGACGGCCGUUAUAAAAAUCCUUCGACUGGCGCAUGUACGUUUGAAGGCAUGAGUUGGAAACAGGGAAGAUGGAAGUGUUAGGCUAGCCGGGCGAUGGUGGCGCACGCCUUUAAUCCUAGCACUUGGGAGGCAGAGGCAGGCGGAUUUCUGAGUUCGAGGCCAGCCUGGUCUACAGAGUGAGUUCCAGGACAGCCAGGGCUACACAGAGAAACCCUGUCUUGAAAAAACAAAAAGGUUAGGCUAGUAUUUGGAGAAAGAAGAUUAGAAAAUGGAAGUGAAAGACGAAGAAGACAUACAGGAAGGUGAAGAAAAAGCUGUUAGAGAAGAUAGGAAAAUAGAAGACAAAGCAUCUUUAGAAGACAGAAAAGGUACUUAAAGGCACAGGUAGUAGGAAGCCGAAGAAUAGAAGAUAGAAAGAAGCAAGAUAGAAAAACAAAAUGGAAGUUAAGACAACUUUGGAUGCCAGCAUUCAAGAUAGGCAAAGAAGAUAAGAUUGAGGCCAAAAGGUUGGAUAAGAUAUAAAGUCAGAAGGAAAUUAUCUUUAAAGCCAUAAGUUCAAAUUUCUGAUGGAGCGAGCAGUUUAGAAGAGUCUUUAGACAGCCACAUACAAGAUUGAAGCUAGCAAUCAAAGCUACUAGGACUGAAGUAAAAAGUUAAGGCAGAAUGCCUUUGAAGAGUUAGAAGAAUAUUAAAAGCCUUAACUUGUAGCUUAAUUUUGCUUGAUGACAAAAGGACUUUUGAUAACAGUUUCAAGAUUGUCAGCAUUUUGCAUUGGACUUGAGCUGAGGUGCUUUUAAAAUCCUAACGACUAGCAUUGGCAGCUGACCCAGGUCUACACAGAAGUGCAUUCAGUGAACUAGGAAGACAGGAGCGGCAGACAGGAGUCCCGAAGCCAGUUUGGUGAAGCUAGGAAGGACUGAGGAGCCAGCAGCAGCAGUGCAUGGUGAAGAUAGCCCAGGAAAGAGUGCGGUUCGGUGGAGGAAGCUAGGAAGAAGGAGCCAUACGGAUGUGGUGGUGAAGCUGGGAAAGGGUUCCAGGAUGGUGGAGCGAGAGCGAGUUGGUGAUGAAGCUAGCUGGCGGCUUGGCUUGUCAACUGCGCGGAGGAGGCGAGCAGGCAUUGUGGAGAGGAUAGAUAGCGGCUCCUAGACCAGCAUGCCAGUGUGCAAGAAAGGCUGCAGGGAGAGCAUGCGGUGCGGUAACAUUCCUUGAGGUCGGCAACAUGGUGGUGGUUUUCUGUAACUUGGAUGGUAACUUGUUUACUUUGUCUUAAUAGUUAUGGGGGAGUUGUAGGCUUCUGUGUAAAGAGAUAUAUCUGGGGCUGUAUGUAGGCCUUUGCGGGUGUUGUAGGUUUUUCUUUUUCAGGGUUAUGUCCUCUUGCAUCUUGUCAGAAGCUUUUGAGGGCUGACUGCCAAGGCCCAGAAAGAAGAAUGGUAGAUGGCAAGUUGUCUUUAACCGCUCAGAGGGGAAUGAAUGGUAGAGCCAGCACAACCUCCCAGUUUUGUCUGUCUAGAAUCCUAAAGGCAGAUGACUCAAGGGAACCAGAAAAAA
rnacentral:lncRNA from 1 species